rnacentral:rRNA from 1 species
UGAGCAACCUGACCCCUGACUCUGGGAUAACCCCGGGAAACCGGAGCUAAUACCGGAUACGACACGCGAAGGCAUCUUCUGCGUGUAGAAAGAUUUAUCGGUCAGGGAUGGGCUCGCGGCCUAUCAGCUUGUUGGUGGGGUAACGGCCCACCAAGGCGACGACGGGUAGCCGGCCUGAGAGGGCGACCGGCCACACUGGGACUGAGACACGGCCCAGACUCCUACGGGAGGCA